ensembl:snoRNA snoRNA:Psi28S-1175b snoRNA:Psi28S-1175b
CCCUUUUUUCAGAUGUUUGUUGGAAUUGUUAACCCUUUUCCUUCGAAUCAUUAUUAAAAGGCAGACUAAACUUUAUUAUGAGCAUAUACCAACCAAGUUGUAAGUUUAUUGUGCAAAUUGGGUGAUGCUUCAGGAACACUA